ensembl:lncRNA
UUCACCAUUAUUUAAAGUUAGAAAUAAAACAGUCAUGUAACAUUCAUUCAUGUUACAGAUUCAGUGUUAUUAUAAGCAAUAAAUAUUUUAUUGAAGUUGAGGCAACAAGGAAGCACAACACAUUAAGCAGAGGCACGUUUAUAUACUGUAAAGGUGGAAUGUGCAUUUGAAAGUGGCAAGCUCCCAUCAUUGAGUUCACACCCCAGUAGGCAGGCAGUGAAGUCUUUUUAAAAGAUGUAGUUCAGAUCCCCAGUCCUGGGAUGUGAGACUUCUGGAGAUAAACAAAGCUACCCAAAAGCAGAUUUGGUCUGAAUUCAGAGUCUGAUCUCCAGGUCUGAGACGUGGUGCCACCUGUGCAAGAGAUCCCAGCCUCUCCCUUCACUCUAAAAGGCAAGCAGGCACAUGCAUCACGUGGCUUCUUCCACACCUGGACUCAUCACUGCUCUUCCUGGUGCUUGAUUCCUGGGAAAACACCUGCUUAAUUGGAAAAUACCUGCUUGAUUUCAGCACAAAUUACCCAAGAAAGCCAGGCUUGGCUGGAAAUUAUUUGUCUGUGUCAGUAACAAAGGGACAAAUCAUGAAAGUGCAUUGUUUUGCCAAAGGGAAAGGUUUAGGAAAAAAACAUGAACAUUUUGCCCAGGUGUUGGUCCACAGGAACACCCAAGCCUAUUUCUUGCACCAGGAGAACUCACUUGAGCUUCCUAAUGCCCAGAGGGGUCCUUGCAUGCAACCUGCUGGGUUCCUCCUGCAGUUCCAGAUGUAAUUUCUAGAGUUCACCCCUUGCCAUGCUCAGUGUGUUACAUGAAAUGAGGAGGAGGAAGAAGAGGUGGAGGACAAAGAGCUCCCAGCUCUGCUUCCAGUGCUGAGGCAAGGAGUCCUCCAGGGAACCAUGAGGCUUCUUCAGGCUGCAGGAACGUCUGGGCCAUAUAAUAACAGCUCAUAGACCAUGAAAUUUUACACAUAGGGUGUGUGUGCUUCACUCCUGGGUACUGCCAUACCCUCAGUGAAAUCUCACCAGUGACUGCAAAAGGAGAAGGCUCAGGGAUGGAGAUGAGCACUUCAUAAAAUCCCAUGUGUGACAACACUCAUGAAUCAGUUCCAGAAGCCUUUUAAGGAAGCACUUGGGCUGCCUGGAGCCUGGUUACUUGCCUGUCUUCCCAGGCAGGUUUUGCAACUUCCUGGGAACAAAGUUCCGCCAGGGCUGGAUGGUUACUGACAUCCACUCUGGGAGCCCUUUGGGCUGUGUUUUUGCAAACUGGUCUGGCUGCAGCACAAGCACCCCAGGGGCCUGAACCCCACUGGAAUUAGAAAAAGAUUCAUGAUUUGGCACAGGAAAUAGCAUAAAAUGUGAUCUCAGGUCUGCCAUCUCCCUCCUUUCUUCUGCAUGGUGGUUUGGAACCCCAGGCUGGACUGAAAUACAAAUACAUCUGUGUAUUUGUACCCUCCUGUCCCAAGCCCACAGCUUCACAUGCAGCAACCCACAGGGCCCAUUGCCUGCCCAAACCUUCCUGUUGCUCACUCCUUGGACCACAGAAACUCCUCUGGGGAACCAGCUCCUGCCCUGGGGCACCACCCAUCCUCAUGGCUGAGAUCCCAGCAUGAGGAGGGGUGGAGCAGUGGUCCCAGAAAACUGCACCUCACUGGGACAUGUCUCAAGUUGGUGCUGCAGAGAUGGAAUUAGAAUCAUAAAAUAACCUGGGUUGAAAAGGAGCGACAAGGAUUAUCUAAUCCAACUCCUGGCUCUGCACAGGACCAACACAAGA